UUUAGCUGCGAUGUUUAAGGAAAGUAUCCUGGAGACAACAACUUUUGAACAAGGAGGUGGGGAGUGAGCCACAUGGAUAAUUAGGAGAAAGGCAUUCCAGGCAGAGCAAACGUGAGUGAGGUCUCUGAAGCAGAAGCAAGUCUGGAAAGUGCAAGGAAAAGCGAGAAGGUGCUGUGGCCAAGUAGACGCAGUGAAAGAGAGAGUCAGAGGAAAUGAUGUCAUAGAGGUGAUGCUGGGUGGGUGGGGGAGUCACGAGACAAUAGAGGUCUCGAGGCCUUUAUCAGACACGAUGUACAGAGAAAUGCUUUUUGGUGAGCAAAUAGCUGUCCAAAUGUAUUUGCUAUAAUGCAAACAAAACAUAGCAGUUCUGGAAGUUGGGUUCUAAAACCAGUCUAGACUGUAGAUUUUAGAGUCUCAGUCUUAGUUCUGAAAUCUUGGUUCAUGUAGAGCCGUAGUCCUCAAAAGGAUCCCAUGAUUCGUGGGUGUAGUCUAGCCCCCUGCGGGCAAUAUUGUCAAAUUCUUGAUCAGCAUGUAACAGUUGGGUGUCCACAGGCUCUGAACGGCUAGGAAGGGAAACCACCUAGGAAGAUCUGAGAGAAGAUUCUGACGUAGGGAAGCUCUGGAAGCGGCGAGAAAUCGCUCAGAUCUGGCUCUUACGACAACGAUCUCUUUCUCCUGCACCUGCUUCUUUCAACGACUAAGACAUUUCGCGGCAGGUUACGCACGAGAGGUGACGACGUGGACGCAUCGUGCGGGGGGAGGUGGGGGGGAGACCUCAUUCGACCCGGUACAGUCACAACAGGGAUUUGAAAGAAACGUACAGAGUUUCUGGCCCGUCCGUAGAGCCACGAUGUUUUUUAAUGGCCGGGAAGCUCACUCCAUCUGCAAAGAUGCAGAAGGGUUUUUGGAACCUCAAAGCUGACCGUUUAGACCUGGUCAUCGCACGUCCUGCAACCGCCCCGGCCUUCAGCCUCUGGACCUGCCCCCUCCCUCCGCCACCGGACCUCCGAGGAAACGUGGUCUCCACACACAACGGAGUAUAAUUCAGCCAUAAAAAGGAGGCAAGCCCUUCUGCAGGCGGCAAUGUGGAAGAACCUGGAGGACAUUGUACUAAGUGACAUAAGGCAGACACAGAAAGACAAAUACUGCCCGAUUCCACAUAACGGGAGGCACUCAAAAUGGUCAGACGCAGGCAAACAGGAGGUGGGAUGCUGGUUGCCCCGGGCUGGCAGGGAAGGGAAAAUGGGGAGUCACCGUUUAAUGCAUCUCAAGUUUAGGUUGUGCAAGGUUAAUAAGUUCUAGACAUCUGUGCGCUGCUGUGCGUAUAGCCAACAGCACUGUACGUGCUCUUAAAAAUCUGUUACAGGGUAUAGAUUUCACAUAAAGGGUUCUUACCACAAUAAUUAAAAAAAAAAAAAAAGAGGGGCACCUGGGUGGCUCAGCCCAUCAAGCUUCCAACUUUUGAUUUCCGCUCAGGUCGUGAUCUCACGGUUUGGUAGUUCGAGCCCCACGUCGGGCUCUGCGCUGACAGCGCGGAACCUGCUUGGGAUUCUCCCUCUCUCCCUCCCUCCCUCUCUCUCUGCCCCUCCCCUGCUGUCUCUCUCAGGUGAGCUCUC